UUUAUUGGAGAGUUUGAUCCUGGCUCAGGAUGAACGCUGGCGGCGUGCCUAAUACAUGCAAGUCGAGCGAAUGGAUUAAGAGUUUGCUCUUAUGAAGUUAGCGGCGGACGGGUGAGUAACACGUGGGUAACCUGCCCAUAAGACUGGGAUAACUCCGGGAAACCGGGGCUAAUACCGGAUAACAUUUUGAACCGCAUGG
rnacentral:rRNA from 1 species